UCAGGACACAGUUUAGAUAUGAGGGUCCAGGUUCAGUUUCUGGGGCUCCUUCUGUUCUGGACAACAGGUGCCCAGUGUGAUGUCCAGAUGACCCAGUCUCCGUCUUAUCUUGCUGCGUCUCCUGGAGAAAGUGUUUCCAUCAGUUGCAAGGCAAGUAAGAGCAUUAGCAAGUAUUUAGCCUGGUAUCAGGAGAAACCUGGGAAAGCAAAUAAACUUCUUAUCUACUCUGGGUCAACUUUGCAAUCUGGAACUCCAUCGAGGUUCAGUGGCAGUGGAUCUGGUACAGAUUUCACUCUCACCAUCAGAAGCCUGGAACCUGAAGAUUUUGCAGUCUAUUACUGUCAACAGCAUACGUCUCUUUUGAUUACUUUUGGUUGA